GUUAAAACCAGCAGCGGGGGGAGGGGGGGAUGUGUAAAGGCCCUUAAGUGAUUCUUAAAAGGCCUGGAAGAUUUACAGUCGCCAUCAUCAUCAAAACAUCUAGCUUGUGAAUGACACGCACUUCCGUGGUCCCCAUAGCCAUUGGGGCUUUGGGAACAAUAAUCAUGAAAUUUCACCCAGUAUUCUAAGCUGUUGCAGAUCUCAGAAAUCACGCCAUCAGAACUACGAAAAACAGCAAUAUUAGAUACAGCAUAUAUACUGUGUCGAUAUUUAACAGAAAAACAGCAAUAUUAGAUACAGCGUAUAUACUGUGUCGAUAUUUAACAGAUACUUAGGUUUUUGGUUAAAACUUGCAUUUGUUAUGUAAUACCGGUCAAUGUUUUAUAGUUUUGAUGGACUAUGACCAGUAUUUUUAGAAGAGGAGGAAGAAUAAAGGCCUUCACCCAAUGCUGGAAAAAAACCCGAACCCUAAAAAUACAGGUAACUAGUAAACUUUCCAGGGGAGUAAGUUACAUCUUUAAAAGGCACCAUGUGAGCUGAAGAGCCAUCGCUCUCCCAUCUCUGUCUAGACUCUAGACCAAAAGCUGGCAUCCUUCAUGAUGAUUCCUGGUAGUGUGUUCUGUGCCAAACAAACCCAUCACAACGCUGCUCAGGGCAAUUGCUUUUCCACUCGUUGGCAGAAUCAGCUUAGUUAAUUACGGGUACGCAAAGGAGAUCAACAGCUCCCUUCCCCUAAUUCUCACCCCACCCCCACCCCGGUUUGAUGAAGAGUCCUGCAUAACUCAAAAGCUUGCAGUAUUUGUGGAUGUAUAGUUCAUACUCAUGCUGACCCCCUCGGGGGGGUUUCUUUGGAUUUCAUUUUGUUAAUGUGUAUUUUAUUUGACUCCUGGACGCACACACGAGGGUGUGCUGCCAGAGAAACACCCAGCAGGCAUUCUUAGCUCUUUAACGAUCCAUGUUCUGAUUCUUAAAAUUUCAGCAUGAGUCAGCUUUAUUCCAUUUCAGAGGCGGCAGAACCUUACCAGGGUGCCUCGCCAGAAAACUUUGCCUUUAAAGGCAACCAGUCUCAGCGCCGCUGGGUGUUUUUUAAAUAUAUUUUUAAUUUCUCUGUGUGUGUGUCUGGAAGGAGUUUUUCCCUUGGCUGCCUGGAAUCUCUCCCGCAAUGGAAGAAAAGAAAUCUUUGGUGUUUAUCUUCACAGACAGGCCAAGAUUCGCUCUGUGUUUCAGCGCCAUCCCCCUCAACGGCUGCUGUCAAGAAGCACUUCCUGCAAGCGGGUCAGAUUCAGAUUCAGCAAACCGGCAGUGUCAGCAUGCAGGGUUUGCAAAAUUGCUUUUAUAAAGCAGCGCCCCUCCUCCUUAACUAGGGGUCCAGGUGUCCAGCCUGUCGGUUUUGUAUGGCCAUGCUUCCUUCCCCCUGAAAACCAAUUAUCAAAGGGAACGCUGAGGUGGAAAGUCCACCGGGGUCUGACCACAGGGGAGCAUCAUCACCUCUUUUGGGGUUUUGCCUGCGCAGGACUGGGCAUAAAACAUU
rnacentral:lncRNA from 1 species